GGCCUGGAGGUUUGGGUUUUGUUUUUUUGUGUCAAAGAGCCUGGAGCUAGUUGGAUUGGCACUCGUCCAUCAAAGUUCCAGUUUUCUUUUUGAACGUCCAGUAAUUAACUAAAUGCUAACUGGGAAAAACUUUAUGUUUGAUUAUAAUUCAAAAGUACUCAAUUGAUUUAAAAAUAAUAAAAUUCUUACUAAUAUGAAGACAGA
rnacentral:misc_RNA from 1 species